UUCCUUGACAACUGCUUAUUAGUAUACUUACAUGAGAAGAGGGAUAGGGAAGUGAGAAAAAAGAACAGGGAAGACUGGGCUCGACCAGAGGCACAGAAUUCAUCCAAACGGAACCCAAUUGUUCAUAACACCAAAGGUCAGCCUGGCGGAAAGUGCUACCAUGAAGCCACUCUGGAAAUUAGAAGAUCCAGAAGACAUAGAAGAAGCUUCUUCUGGCCAGGCAGCGGGUCAGUGGCACUCAGUUCUCCAGAGCUCUGAUUUUUGGAGAUAUUUGGACUCCAGAACUGCAUGUCUCUGUAAUGUUUUCCCCUCCAGGAUUCUAGGAAAUUUAAUCCAGGUACUCAGUGUAGUAAUCCAUAUUUUCUCCCGGGAAGACGAGGCUGUAGUCAUUGUUUUCCUAGGGCACUGUGAGAAGUAAUGUGCAGGCCCUCCCCGUGGCCGCAAGCACUUUUGCUCCUGCCAGGCAGGACCGUGGACAGCGCUCUCCUUCGGCUCAGGGGCUCCAAGUACUCACAGGUACUUCCUCCCCGAAGGGCGGGGCUGUGGAUGUUGUCCUCCUUGGGCAUUCUGGGAAGUGUAGUCCAAGAACACCGUGUAGUCUCAUGCACUUCCGUUCCCAAAGGGCUGUACUGGGGAGUUCUGGGAAAUGUUGAUCUAGAGCUCCUGGUAGUUGCAGGCACUUCCGGCCCAGGUGGGCGGGGUUAUGACCUUGUGUUCGCGUAGUGAUUGUGGGUUCCUCAUCUCGCAACGCUUCUGAACUUCCUCGACCUGCUCUUGAAGCAACAACAACCCAGCUGUGGGCUUGAGGGGGAAAGCAGAUGUUUGAGCCCUGACUUCACAAGAACUGCUCCAAGGUGGACGGAGUGAGGGACCCCUUGGCUCCUGGCAGCAGGGCCCCACAAGUGCUUUGCCAAGGAUUUGAAGUGGCUUCAACUGGUCUUUGCUCAGAUGUUUCCAGUACCAUCUAUGACGUGUUCUAUCAAAAGAGAUGAACUUUAAACAGGCCUUUAGAUUUAAAUUUUACUUUAUAGGAAACAGAAUAGACGAAGAAACUAUCUAAUGAUAUGAAAAAUAAACAGGAGAAAUUCAGAAUGUAGAUCAUCAUGACAACCAACCCGAUUCCUCAACAGGUCAAAGUUCUGUAAGAAGAAGUGAAUGGAUAGUAUUCAAGAAUAAACACACCUGAACAAAUAAAAUGAAUGGACUCUGGACAUUGAUUUGAACAAACCACUGAUGAGGGGGUUUGGGGAAAAUCUGAAAACAGACUGGAUAUUAGGAAAUAUUAAAGAAUUAAUAAUUAUUUUAUUUAGCAUGAUAAGGGUAUUGUGGUUUUGAAAGAAUAUUUUUAUUUUUUAAAUAUUUAACAAGGUGUGAAAAGACAUGAUGUCGGGGAUUUGUUUCAAAAUUCUACUAUAACUAAAAAUAAUAGUGAUAGAUGAAUUAAAUGUUUAAAAUUAAGUUGAAUUUUGGAUAUGAGUAUAUGGGGUGCAUUUUACUGUUCUCUCUUUUGAAAACUUUCAUAAUAAAAAGCUACAAAAUACAUUUCCUGCCUAGGAGAAAAAUCAUCACGUCCUUGUUCACUUGGCU